rnacentral:rRNA from 1 species
AGAGUUUGAUCCUGGCUCAGAACGAACGCUGGCGGCGUGCCUAACACAUGCAAGUCGAGCGGGAAAGUUCCCUUCGGGGAGCGAGUACAGCGGCGAACGGGUGAGUAACACGUAGGUAACCUACCCUGAAGACCGGGAUAACCUGUCGAAAGACGGGCUAAUACUGGAUAAGACCACGGGGGCUUCGGCUCUCGAGGUAAAAGGUGGCCUCUGCUUGCAAGCUAUCACUUUGGGAUGGGCCUGCGCGCCAUUAGCUAGUUGGUGAGGUAACGGCUCACCAAGGCGAAGAUGGCUAGCUGGUCUGAGAGGAUGGCCAGCCACACUGGGACUGAGAUACGGCCCAGACUCCUACGGGAGGCAGCAGUGGGGAAUCUUGCGCAAUGGGCGAAAGCCUGACGCAGCGACGCCGCGUGGGUGAUGAAGGCCUUCGGGUCGUAAAGCCCUGUCAGGAGGGACGAAAUCUCGGCGAGCUAAUAUCUCGUCGACUUGACGGUACCUCCGAAGGAAGCACCGGCUAACUCCGUGCCAGCAGCCGCGGUAAUACGGAGGGUGCAAGCGUUGUUCGGAAUCACUGGGCGUAAAGCGCGUGUAGGCGGCCUCCUCAGUCUGGUGUGAAAGCCCGGGGCUCACCCCCGGAAGUGCAUUGGAUACUGGGAGGCUGGAGUACCGAAGAGGAGGGUGGAAUUCCUGGUGUAGCGGUGAAAUGCGUAGAUAUCAGGAGGAACACCGGUGGCGAAGGCGGCCCUCUGGUCGGAUACUGACGCUGAGACGCGAAAGCGUGGGGAGCAAACAGGAUUAGA